rnacentral:rRNA from 1 species
ACAUGGGGGGAACCCUGAUCCAGCCAUGCCGCGUGUGUGAAGAAGGCCUUUUGGUUGUAAAGCACUUUAAGCGAGGAGGAGGAGACUUCUCUGAGUUAAUACCCAAGAUAUCUUGGACGUUACUCGCAGAAUAAGCACCGGCUAACUCUGUGCCAGCAGCCGCGGUAAUACAGAGGGUGCAAGCGUUAAUCGGAUUUACUGGGCGUAAAGCGCGCGUAGGUGGCCAAUUAAGUCAAAUGUGAAAUCCCCGAGCUUAACUUGGGAAUUGCAUUCGAUACUGGUUGGCUAGAGUAUGGGAGAGGAUGGUAGAAUUCCAGGUGUAGCGGUGAAAUGCGUAGAGAUCUGGAGGAAUACCGAUGGCGAAGGCAGCCAUCUGGCCUAAUACUGACACUGAGGUGCGAAAGCAUGGGGAGCAAACAGGAUUAGAUACCCUGGUAGUCCAUGCCGUAAACGAUGUCUACUAGCCGUUGGGGCCUUUGAGGCUUUAGUGGCGCAGCUAACGCGAUAAGUAGACCGCCUGGGGAGUACNGUCGCAAGACUAGAACUCAAAUGAAUAGACNGGGGCCCGCACAAGCGGUGGAGCAUGUGG